rnacentral:piRNA from 1 species
UGCGAAUGAGAAAGAGAUGGUCCACCUGG